GCUGGUAAAAUGUGGUGCAGCAGUAAAUAUUAUGCUAACAACAUGAUACAUAAAAUCAGAAGAAAAGAUUAUGAAUUGGUAGCUAUGGAUGUAAUAGUCACAAACUUCAUGGGAGGAUCUUGUAAGCCAAAGGGAGUUCUGCCAGCAUAUCUCCAAGUUGGUUCAUGAUCCUCUAUUACUGUAUUCUUUAUUAUUGAUGCUUC
rnacentral:lncRNA from 1 species